GAUGAGCGCUGGCGGCGUGCCUAAUACAUGCAAGUCGAGCGAACAGAUGAGGAGCUUGCUCCUCUGACGUUAGCGGCGGACGGGUGAGUAACACGUGGAUAACCUACCUAUAAGACUGGGAUAACUUCGGGAAACCGGAGCUAAUACCGGAUAAUAUAUUGAACCGCAUGGUUCAAUAGUGAAAGACGGUUUUGCUGUCACUUAUAGAUGGAUCCGCGCCGCUUUAGCUAGUUGGUAAGGUAACGGCUUACCAAGGCAACGAUGCGUAGCCGACCUGAGAGGGUGAUCGGCCACACUGGAACUGAGACACGGUCCAGACUCCUACGGGAGGCAGCAGUAGGGAAUCUUCCGCAAUGGGCGAAAGCCUGACGGAGCAACGCCGCGUGAGUGAUGAAGGUCUUCGGAUCGUAAAACUCUGUUAUUAGGGAAGAACAAAUGUGUAAGUAACUAUGCACGUCUUGACGGUACCUAAUCAGAAAGCCACGGCUAACUACGUG
rnacentral:rRNA from 1 species